rnacentral:rRNA from 1 species
AUUGAACGCUGGCGGCAUGCCUAACACAUGCAAGUCGAGCGGAAGAAGGGAGCUUGCUGCUGGAGUCAGCGGCGGACGGGUGAGUAACGCCUAGGAAUCUGCCUGGUAGUGGGGGAUAACGUCGGGAAACGGGCGCUAAUACCGCAUACGCCCUGAGGGAGAAAGGGGGGGAUCUUGGGACCUCACGCUAUCAGAGGAGCCUAGGCUGGUUUAGCGAGGUGGUGGGGUAAAGGCCUACCAAGGCGACGAUCCGGAACUGGUCUGAGAGGUGGAUCAGUCACACUGGACCUGAGAGCGGCCCCAGCUCCUGCGGGGAGGCAGAGUGGGGGAAUAUUGGCAAAUGGGGGAAAGCUUGAUCCACCCAUGCAGGUGGUGUGAAGAAGGCUUCCGGUUUGUAACGCCCUUUGAGUUGAGCGAAAGGGCAGUAUUUUAAACCCUUGCUGCUUGACGGUAACCAACAAAAUAGGACCGGCUAACUUCGUU